rnacentral:lncRNA from 1 species
UUUGAAUCCCAUGUUAAGGUUUACUAGUUAUUUACUCUACCUUCCUUAAAGCCUGGUCGGGUCGUGUUUUGGGUAGACGUCAUGCUUAGCUUGCAAUCAUGGUUGGGCUAGGUGGUUGUUAAUAAUAAACUUGACUAAUGGAAAUAUGCAACCGGGAUGGUAAUUUGUGUAGCAACAUGGUGAAUAGGAAAUCUGAGCAGGGGACCGUUCUUGUGGGGGAAUCCUUUUGGUGGUUUAGGUUGGUGCUAGUAACUGCUCAGAUUGGAAGGAUAAUUUCGUGGACAAGUAACAUGGCUUAACUGCGCAACCACGAGAGCUACAUGGCUCUGGACUUGGUCAAUUGAGUAGUUGUCCCUUUGGUUUUCAUUAUCAGACGAUUUUAGUGGCACAAGAGGGGGCUUUUUCAGUGGAUGGAAAAUAGGCUCUCCAUUAGAAGUGAAUGGUUAGUGGGUGUCUACCGAUGGGAAGUCACAACUUCUUAAAGACCCAGUAGUGGGACCUUUGCUGAUCACCUCGAAAGUGUCAGGCGUAAUGGGGAACACGACUUGUGGGUAAAGUGUGCAACCUCUGUAGAGUGUAAAACUGAUAUAUUAGCCGUGCUCAUGGUGGGUUAGACUUCUUUAUGAUUAGUGGGGCUUUAAUGGGAUGAAUGUUUUGUGGUUUCUAGUAAAUAGGAUGCUUUUGUUGAGUCUAGGAAGUUGGCAUAAGAUGCGUGUCUAAACCCAUAUAGGCCUUCCUUGUUAUUGACCCAGAAGCUGGAGAAGAGGUGGAAUAAUAGGAGGAUGACAACUUCGCCCUGAAUUCUCCGUACUAGGCUGCUGACCCUCGGACGACUACAUGUGGAAUAUCGGAAGACCCACUUGCGCUGGAUGUCUCUUAGUAUCUUUUAUUUUAGACCUAUGAGUCCUUUUGCACAUAUUUAUAUGGUUAAGUAAUGACAUUGUAACGAUACUCACUGAUGAUGUCGCUGCAUGUAUGAAUAAUUUGAUCUUGGCAUACAUGUGAUUUGCAUUCAGUUUUGGCCUUAUAAAACUGGGUGUGGCAUGUUUCAUUUGUUCUUUGGCAUGAAUUAGGCCAUGGUUUGGAUCCCUCAUCUAAAAAUUAGCCGGCUAAAUUUAGCUAAUAGGGAUCCAAAUGGGUCAAGCUAAAACUAGACUAAACUUUAGCUACAACCCAAAAAGAGCUUUAGCCAUUAGCUAGCCAAGAGUUGCUAAAACUGGCUAAAAGCGGUGAAAGACCAAAAUACCCUCACCUUAACUCGCGGUAAAUAUCCCCAACCGUCCCGUCAGCCUCCCUCCCGAUCCCCUUUUCUCAUAGACAUACCGAGCAAUGCACGCC